rnacentral:rRNA from 1 species
AUACGUAGGUGGCAAGCGUUAUCCGGAAUUACUGGGUGUAAAGGGCGCGCAGGCGGCCUUGCAAGUCGGAUGUGAAGGAUCAAGGCUCAACCUUGACAGGUCAUCCGAAACUGUAAGACUUGAGUGUCAGAGGGGAAAGUGGAAUUCCUAGUGGAGCGGUAAAAUGCGCAGAUAUUAGGAGGAACACCGGUGGCGAAGGCGACUUUCUGGCCGACAACUGACGCUGAGGCGCGAAAGCGUGGGGAGCAAACAGGAUUAGAUACCCUGGUAGUCCACGCCGUAAACGAUGAUUACUAGGUGUAGGGGGUAUCGACUCCCUCUGUGCCACAGUUAACGCAGUAAGUAAUCCACCUGGGGAGUACGGCCGCAAGGUUAAAACUCAAAUGAAUUGACGGGG